rnacentral:tRNA from 1 species
UCCCUGGUAGCUCAGUUGGUAAAGAAUCUGCCUGCAAUGCAGGAGACCCAGGUUUGAUUCCUGGGUUAGGGAA